rnacentral:rRNA from 1 species
UACGGAGGGUGCAAGCGUUGCUCGGAAUUAUUGGGCGUAAAGGGCUCGUAGGCGGUUAGUCGCGUCGGGAGUGAAAACUCAGGGCUCAACCCUGAGCGUGCUUCCGAUACGGGCUGACUAGAGGUAUGCAGGGGAGAACGGAAUUCCUGGUGUAGCGGUGGAAUGCGCAGAUAUCAGGAGGAACACCGGUGGCGAAGGCGGUUCUCUGGGCAUUACCUGACGCUGAGGAGCGAAAGCAUGGGGAGCGAACAGG